rnacentral:lncRNA from 1 species
GCUGCAAUAUUUAAAUAGCUAUUUCGUAAUAAAUUACAGUAAAUUAGCCUAAAUUGUAAUUAUUUACUGCGAAAUAUAUUUAAAAGAAAAAUUUAAUCAAUUCGUAGUAAUUUAGUGUGGUUAACCUAAAUUAUUAUUCCGGUUUCGACUCACCUUCCCCAUAACAGACCUUAAACCCUACUCUGAAGCAAUAAAAACCCCUAAUUUGCCGCUUCUAAUCUGGCAGAAAUUCGCCGGAAACUACCAAGCGCCACCAGAAAUGGCGUCAAUAGUAUCAGAAAUAGUUCCAAAGUUCACCGCUGAAGCACUCAAAUCCGCAGCUAAACAAUCUGAACGUUGCCAUAUUGUUCCUCUCCACCUUUAAAACACUAUUCACCCCCCCUUCUAAUCUGAACGUUGCCAUAUUGUUCCUCUCCGCCUUCGUAAAGCUAUCAAAAAGUACCUCCGAGGUAAAUUUCAACUUUUAUUUUUAUUUUUGAUGCACUUUUGUUCAAACAUUGAUUUCAUUAGGAUGUCCCUGUUUAGAGUUUUUUUUGCUGAAAUAGUCCCUCAAUUAUUACAUUUCAUACUCAAAAUAUCACCG